rnacentral:lncRNA from 1 species
CUGGCCAGGGUCCUGGUCCCAUCCCAGUGGGCUUCCUGCCUGCCAGCCUGGGGGAGUGGCGUGGGCUGACCCCGACCAGGAGAGAGCUCUCUGGGGUCUCUUUUUGUCAGGAUGCUAAUCCCAUCCUGGGGGCCUCACCGUCAUGACCUCCUCUAACCCUAAUCACCUCCCAAAGGCCCCGCCUCCUAAUACUAUCCCACGGAGGGGUUAGGGCAUCAACAUAAGAAUUUGGAGGGGGCCACAGUUCAGUCCACAGCAGGAUGUGUGUGUGUGGAGUGAAGCAGGCUGACCGGGCCUCAACAUCACCUGGGAAUCCUGGAAGGAAACAGGUUCCUGGGCCUUGCUCCAACCUAAGGAACCCGAAUCUGCAUAGGUCACAUGGCGCCGUAUUUCCAACGUUCAGAGCACAUUGGAAAGUUGGGAGGAAGGAUGAGGCUUGUGUUUUCACUCACAGACUCCCUCCAGAAGAUGAUAAUGAAAGUGUCUGACGCAUAAGGAAAUAAAUAAGAUGGUUAUGUGCCCAGCUCAAGGGCUAAGGUGUUGGUCAAGACCACACCCGAGGGGCUGCCAGUCACAGGGUGGGGUCCAAGCUCCUCACCAGACCCAACCUCCCCUGCUCUGCAACCUCAUCCUUCCCCUGUCUUUCCUGGGUUAAAUUUUACACUUAGUAACACUGAAACCAGGCAGUUUCACACCUCCGAGCCUGCAUCUAUGCUCAUCUCUUUACCUGAAACGUCUUCUCUCACCC